GGACGUCGCCUCGGUGACGUCUUUCCGCGAAUCGAACCGUGCGUGUUUGGCAGGUAUCGUGAGGGCAAGAGCCCACCGAGAGCGGGAGAGUCACUGCAGCGGGGAGUGCCUGGGAUCGUGCGUGUGUGCUCGCAUUCGUGAUUCACAUACAUCGGUACGCGUUUCAACCGUUCGCCGUCUCUACUCCGACAAGGACGAGCACUCCCCCCCCCCCAACACCACCACCACGGCGCCCUCUUCUCUCCCUUUUCCUCCACAGUCGCACUCCGUACACCCCGCAUGCACGACGUACUCCCAACACCAACUACCGCAGCCCAACGCAUCUGUCUGCCCUUCCCUCCACGGCGACCUUUGCUGCCUACGUGGCGACAUAACGACACAGCAUAGAGAAGGAGCAAGAGAGGCUCCUUCAAGGCAUACAGAACCUUCAUAGACUCACAGGCAUAUCUUCACCCCCACACACCCAAUCCUUUUGUCGUCCACCACCACCACCACCCUUCGAGUGCUUCGCAUUUUCGUUUGAGGAGGGGAAGGGGAGGAGAAACGUUUUCUUAUCGACGGCAGCCGCUGCUGCUGCUGCACCUUUUCGCCUUCCCUCUUUCGCAUCGCCUCACGCGUCUUUCAUUUCUAUCAUCUCUGCUCAGGGUGGCAUCAGCGUGGGCUACGAGCGCUAGCAGCAACAUGCUCCAUCGCUGCCUGCUGCAACUGGUUAAGGCGAAGGGCUCGACACCGCGCCGACACGUGCUGCGGCGUCCGCUGCGCAGGUCUGGCAGCAGCGGAAGCGGCGCUGCAGGCUCCGCUCGUCGCAGCAGCGCACAAGCCAAGGCUUCCGGGCUCUCUGGCUCAUCGUCCGCUGGCAGCGGCAAAGGCGGCGGUGGCGGGCGGGGCCCACACAGGGGCAGCAGCACCUCCACCGACGCUAAAGUAGCGGCCGCCGCAGAAGCCGACAAGGGCGGCGCUGCCUUGCCUCUGGCCACAGAUGGUGGAUUCAACGGCGCAUCUUCGGACACCACUGCCUCAUCCUCCGCCUCCGCUCGCCGCCCUCUCUAUCGCCUCGCCACAG
rnacentral:misc_RNA from 1 species